UUAAUUGGAUUGAGCCUUGGUAUGGAAACCUACCAAGUGAUAACUUUCAAAUUCAGAGAAACCCUGGAAUUACAAAUGGGCAAUCCUGAGCCAAAUCCUGUUUUCUGAAAACAAACAAGUAUUCAGAAAGUGAUAAUAAAAAAGGAUAGGUGCAGAGACUCAAUGGAAGCUGUUCUAACAAAUGGAGUUGGCUGCGAUGCGUUAGUAAAGGAAUCCUUCCAUCGAAACUCCAGAAAGGAUGAAGAAUAAACCUAUAUACGUAUACGUACUGAAAUACUAUAAUACUAUCUCCAAAUCAUUUACUCCAUCGUAAUCUGAUAGAUCUUUUGAAAAAUGGAUUAAUCGGACGAGAAUAAAGAUAGAGUCCCGUUCUACAUGUCAAUAUCGACAACAAUGAAAUUUAUAGUAAGAGGAAAAUCCGUCGACUUUAGAAAUCGUGAGGGUUCAAGUCCCUCUAUCCCCA
rnacentral:ncRNA from 1 species